UACGAAGGGGGCUAGCGUUGUUCGGAAUUACUGGGCGUAAAGCGCACGUAGGCGGACAUUUAAGUCAGGGGUGAAAUCCCGGGGCUCAACCCCGGAACUGCCUUUGAUACUGGAUGUCUCGAGUCCGGAAGAGGUGAGUGGAAUUCCGAGUGUAGAGGUGAAAUUCGUAGAUAUUCGGAGGAACACCAGUGGCGAAGGCGGCUCACUGGUCCGGUACUGACGCUGAGGUGCGAAAGCGUGGGGAGCAAACAGG
rnacentral:rRNA from 1 species